rnacentral:tRNA from 1 species
AACAAAAUAGUUUAAUAAGAACUAAGAACCUAUGAUUCUUUAGUACCUUUAAAAGGUUUUUGUUU